ACUGACUGUUACAAAAACUGCAUUUUGUUCCGGACAAAACAUGUUAAUUAACAGAAGAGAAAAUGCAGAUUAUCCAUCCAGAAGCGGGGCCACCAUCUCCAGCAUCUUCCCCGUUCUUGGCUGUGGUUGGAACCAUAACGGUGUUAGUAGGGCUGACAACAUUACUACUGGUGGUCAAAAGGUGACCGCAAUAUUACAGCUCAAGUAUAAAUCAAAUAAUACUCCCUUAUCUUCUACUAAAAUUAAAUGUUGUAGUUAUUGUUGUUUUAUUAAUACGAAGACAUGUUAAAUACCCCCUAACCACCUUUUAGAACCUCAUUUGUCAAAUGAUUUACCUACCAAAAGGUACAUUUCAAUAAUUGGUGCAGGUCUCCAGAUUACAUUUUCAGCUUUGCUCCUCUGUCCUGACCAACUGUGUUUUUCUCUGUUGUCUUUAUGCAGUGACCGGCGGCUGCUGAUCCAUGCUCUAUUCACCUAUCCUCUCCGUUCACCAAGAUGCACACACACAGACCCUUCUGUAGAGUGUCUGGGAGGUGAAUAGGCGUGUCUGGGAGGUGCAUAGGCGUGUCUGGGAGGUGCAUAGGCGUGUCUGGGAGGUGCAUAGGCGUGUCUGUCAGGUGCAUAGGAGUGUCUGUCAGGUGCAUAGGAAUGUAGUUGGCAACCUCAUCUGAUUCCAGACAACCCCUCAAGCUUUAUAAUUUAAGUUGAGUGAUAAAAAUGACUUUUGUGGUACUACAGUAUGUGGGUAAACUGUCAUCAGUAUGUAGCUACAUUGUUUUGGCUGGGAUUCAACUCACUCAGUAUUAAAAACAAAUACUGUAGGUUGUGUUUCGUGACAGCUCUCCAUUUUUCUCUGUACUGAUGUCUACUUUGCGAGGAUUACAAAGUCAUACUUUAGUUAGUGGUUAUUGUAUGCUAACCUUUUGAAUAUGUGCAUAAAUCCUAAUGUGUGGCUGAUCUGAUAAGACAGUGUAUAGUGUAUGUAACUGAGAUUAGGAGGUCAUAUCAUAAAAAGUGUGUUUUUGUCCAGAUAAAUAUAAGAAAACAUUUAGAUGAUGUGGAAUUAGAUACAUCUAUCUCAAUAGUUGCAUUGCAUAUUGUCCAGAACAGUCAUGAUUGUAAAGAAGAUGAGACAAUAAAGGAUGACAAUUUAAAGGCCACCUGGCUCUUGUCUGCCUCUUUGAUCCUUAUGCCACAUGUAAGUAAAGUAAGCCUUGUCAGAGCCUGUUUCAAUAGUGUGAGGCAUCUUGGUCUACAAGUA
rnacentral:lncRNA from 8 species